AUGAAAAUAGCAGUGGAAGUUGUGAUUAUGGCCAACAGAAAUCGGAAACUGCUGCGAGGUCAUUGGCCUGGUACCCAGCACUGGCCUAUUAGCUGUCAUUAGCCCUUAUCCAGGAAACAAUUCACAUUCUUGAAAUCCUUAGGAAAUUGGAUUUCUGCCCACAGAUUCAUCACCCUGCUGUUUCUCGUGGAUUAAAGUGCCAGGGGCCUAUGAGUGACUGCUCUGUGUGAGCAGAAAGUGCGAUCCUCUGGCCUAGAAGUGGGCUGGGUUGCUCUCCUAGAAACUGUGUGGCCCGGGCUCAUCUUAUGACCGGAUGGAAGAGACUUUAUGAGGGUAUCUUGUCUCAUCUCCUGCCCAGCAGAUUUCAUUCUCCCUCAAAGCUGGGAGAUUGUAAAGUUUCCACUGGAAUUUGACAACGUCCCAGAGAAGCCCAAAGACCCAGCUCACUGAGGACAGGUGUCCUCAGAGGGACUGCAGCCUCCACUCAGGGAAGUGUUUGGUGCCUGGAUCCGAGUUCAACAGCUAUAAAGAGACACUAGCCGGCCACCCGUGCAGCGUUCCUUUGUGGCAGACAAUGGCACUUGGGAAAUGCCACACGCAUUAGAAGCAGACGUGGAUUGUCUGAGGAGCCUGUGCAAUGGAAACUCCAACUGAAAUCGCACAGGAUCACGAACAUUCUACUUACUUCAAGGGGCUGGAAGAGAGAGGAGGAAGAAAAAGCCUGAGCGUCAUUUUCCGACAGGCCUGGGCUGCUAUAAAUACGCGCAAGGCCGCAGCGACAGCACGGGUGGGUGGGAGCUGUAUGGGUGCCUGGCGAGCUCUGCUUGGGCCAGCUCCCUGCCUCGUCUUUGGCAGAACUGAGUGCUGGAGGGUUGACUUUGUACGGGGGGAGUCUGAGG
ensembl:lncRNA